UACGUAGGCAGCGAGCGUUGUUCGGAAUUACUGGGCGUAAAGAGUGUGUAGGCGGUGCUCUAAGUUCGGUGUGAAAUCUCCUGCUCAACUGGGAGGGUGCGCCGGAAACUGGAGUGCUUGAGCGUGGGAGAGGAAAGCGGAAUUCCUGGUGUAGCGGUGAAAUGCGUAGAUAUCAGGAGGAACACCUGUGGUGUAGACGGCUUUCUGGACCAUAGCUGACGCUGAGACACGAAAGCGUGGGUAGCAAACAGG
rnacentral:rRNA from 1 species